rnacentral:rRNA from 1 species
GACGGAGGGUGCUAGCGUUGUUCGGAAUGACUGGGCGUAAAGGGCGCGUAGGCGGCUCGUGAAGUCGGGUGUGAAAGCCCGGGGCUCAACCCCGGAACGGCAUCCGAUACUGGCGGGCUUGAGACCGGGAGAGGAGGGUGGAAUACCCAGUGUAGAGGUGAAAUUCGUAGAUAUUGGGUGGAACACCGGUGGCGAAGGCGGCCAUCUGGACGGACACUGACGCUGAGGCGCGAAAGCGUGGGGAGCAAACAGG